AACUCCAAGUGGUGGAUCACUCGGCUCGUGGGUCGAUGAAGAAUGCAGCCAACCGCGUGAAUUAAUGUGAAUUGUAGGAUUUACGUCACAAUCGCGCAAAUUCUCGAUCUGGUCUCGUUUUAAUCUCUCACUUUUUCAUAUUGUCG
rnacentral:rRNA from 1 species